rnacentral:rRNA from 1 species
GACGAACGCUGGCGGCGUGCUUAACACAUGCAAGUCGAACGGAAAGGCCCUGCUCUUGUGGCGUGCUCGAGUGGCGAACGGGUGAGUAACACGUGAGUAACCUGCCCUUGACUUUGGGAUAACUUCAGGAAACUGGGGCUAAUACCGGAUAGGAGCUCCUGCUGCAUGGUGGGGGUUGGAAAGUUUCGGCGGUGGGGGAUGGACUCGCGGCUUAUAAGCUUGUUGGUGGGGUAGUGGCUUACCAAGGCGUUGACGGGUAGCCGGCCUGAGAGGGUGACCGGCCACAUUGGGACUGAGAUACGGCCCAGACUCCUACGGGGGGCAGCAGUGGGGAAUAUUGCACCAUGGGCGGAAGCCUGAUGCAGCAACGCCGCGUGCGGGAUGAAGGCCUUCGGGUUGUAGACCGCUUUCGCCUGUGACGAAGAGUGAGUGACGGUAAUGGGUAAAGAAGCACCGGCUAACUACGUG